UGCAUAUUGCGGUGGAUAAUGGGAAGCGUGUGGUGGGUGUGAGAAAGUCUGCCUGUGGGGUUGGCGUGACGUGCAACAACACCAGAUAGCUGCGUUUGAGCUGCCUCCUGCCCGACCGAAUUUCCGGCGGCCUGCGGGCACCUCCCGGCCAUCGGCCAUCGCCGUCGUCUGGUCGCGCCGCUGCUCGCCGACUGACUACGGGCCGCUGUCGCCGCGCGUCCGCCGCCGGCCUUGACCUCGCAGAGCAGGCCUGGUGUCACCAGGUUCCGAUCAACGGGCAGGUCACGACCGUCGCCGCCGCCGCCGCCGCACC